rnacentral:misc_RNA from 1 species
GGAAGUAAAAUCGUAACAAGGUUUCCGUAGGUGAACCUGCGGAAGGAUCAUUAAAGUUAUAGUCCCCUGGCCCUCUGGGCUGGGGUCUUCUAUACCACCCUUUGUUUAUUACACCUUUGUUGCUUUGGCAGGCCUGCCCUCGGGCUGCUGGCUCCGGCCGGCUCGCGUCUGCCAGAGGACCUAAACUCUGUUUGUAUAUGAAGUCUGAGUACUAUAUAAUAGUUAAAACUUUCAACAACGGAUCUCUUGGUUCUG